rnacentral:rRNA from 1 species
GUAGGUGGCAAGCGUUGUCCGGAAUUAUUGGGCGUAAAGCGCGCGCAGGCGGUUCUUUAAGUCUGAUGUGAAAGCCCACGGCUCAACCGUGGAGGGUCAUUGGAAACUGGAGAACUUGAGUACAGAGGAGGAAAGCGGAAUUCCACGUGUAGCGGUGAGAUGCGUAGAGAUGUGGAGGAACACCAGUGGCGAAGGCGGCUUUCUGGUCUGUAACUGACGCUGAGGCGCGAAAGCGUGGGGAGCAACCAGGAUUAGAUACCCUGGUAGUCCACGCCGUAAACGAUGAGUGCUAAGUGUUAGGGGGGUUUCCGCCCCCCUUAGUGCUGCAGCUAACGCAUUAAGCACUCCGCCUGGGAGUACGGCCGCAAGGCUG